AUGUUAUGCUUGUUGUUAUCUCCGGUGACGUUGAUGUUGUUGUGUGCAUUCGUUUCUCAUAAAAUCUUUAAGCCCCUCCAGCCUGUGUCAGUUCACAAGAGAAGUACAAGGCAUGGUCAUCGUUGGUGCACACAAAAAAUACACCUCGCCAAGAAACAGCUGUUUUUAACUACUCAGAUUAUGUCACACAUCAGAAGUGCAUGCAUGAGGCUGUCAAUGUCGUUUCUAAUUUCCAAAAAUGCAAGUAAUUUGCCAAAAUCGCUAUUAUUUCGUGACUUGUGCUCAGCUAAAAUAUGCGCAAUAUGGUAUCACAUCUGCUACAAGAAAAGGCAUCAAUGGUGUAGUAUAGCUACUGCCUAUUCUCCUCUAGCAGCAGUGAAUCUCCUCCGGGAUGGGGUUGCCCUUCUGCUUACCACAUGCUUGCGCGCCCCUUCAUACGGCAACACGUCGUCUUCAUCCUUGGUGAAUCCCCUCCGGCCUGGCGCCGCCCUUCUGCUCGAUCCAUGCUUGCGCGCCCCAUCAUAG
rnacentral:rRNA from 1 species